GACGAACGCUGGCGGCGUGCUUAACACAUGCAAGUCGAACGAAGAGCGAUGGAAGCUUGCUUCUAUCAAUCUUAGUGGCGAACGGGUGAGUAACGCGUAAUCAACCUGCCCUUCAGAGGGGGACCACAGUUGGAAACGACUGCUAAUACCGCAUACGAUCUAAUCUCGGCAUCGAGGAUAGAUGAAAGGUGGCCUCUACAUGUAAGCUUUCACUGAAGGAGGGGAUUGCGUCUGAUUAGCUAGGUGGAGGGGGAACGGCCCACCAAGGCGAUGCUCAGUAGCCGGUCUGGGAGGAGGAACGGCCAACAUGGGAAUGAGACACGGCCCAGACCCCUACGGGAGGCAGCCGGGGGGAAUCUUCCGCAAUGGAGGAAAGGCUGACGGGGCAACGCCGCGGGAGUGAUGACGGCCUUCGGGUUGUAAAGCUCUGUUAAUCGGGACGAAAGGCCUUCUUGCGAAUAGUGAGAAGGAUUGACGGUACCGGAAUAGAAAGCCACGGCUAACUACGUG
rnacentral:rRNA from 1 species